GACGAACGCUGGCGGCGUGCUUAACACAUGCAAGUCGAACGGAAAGGCCCGCUUUUGUGGGGUGCUCGAGUGGCGAACGGGUGAGUAACACGUGAGUAACCUGCCCUUGACUUUGGGCUAAAUUCAGGAAACUGGGGCUAAUACCGGAUAGGAGCUCCUGCUGCCUUGUGGGGGUUGGAAAGUUUCCGCGGUUGGGGAUGGACUCGCGGCUUAUUAGCUUGUUGGUGGGGUAGUGGCUUACCAAGGCUUUGACGGGUAGCCGGCCUGAGAGGGUGACCGGCCACAUUGGGACUGAGAUACGGCCCAGACUCCUACGGGAGGCAGCAGUGGGGAAUAUUGCACAAUGGGCGGAAGCCUGAUGCAGCAACGCCGCGUGCGGGAUGACGGCCUUCGGGUUGUAAACCGCUUUCGCCUGUGACGAAGCGUGAGUGACGGUAAUGGGUAAAGAAGCACCGGCUAACUACGUG
rnacentral:rRNA from 1 species